AAGACUUGGCCGGGCCGGCGCUGACUCCACAUGGGCUCUAGGCUCCUCUGCUGUGUGGCUCUCUGCCUCCUGGGAGCAGGCCCCUUGGACACAGCAGUUUCCCAGACUCCAAAAUACCUCGUCACGCAGGUGGGAAACAAGAAGUCCCUAAAAUGUGAACAGAUGCUGAGUCAUAAUACCAUGUACUGGUAUAAGCAGGACUCCAAGCAAUUGCUGAAGAUCAUGUUUACCUACAACAAUAAGGAACUCAUUGUAAACGAAACAGUUCCAAGUCGUUUCUCACCUGAAUCUCCUGACAAUGCUCAUUUAAAACUUCAUGUCGACUCCCUGGAGCCAGGCGACUCUGCUGUGUAUUUCUGUGCCAGCAGCCAAGACACAGCCCUGCAAAGUCACUGCCUCCCUGUGCACAAACCCUCUGCCCCAGCCAGAAAGCUGUGGGGACAACGUGUUCACCUGGCCCUGAGGAUCCGUUCACCCCUGUGA